GCUGAGACUGAGGGGCAGUUGGCUCACUCUCUGGAUAUAACCUGGAGAGAGUGGCUGCCUGUCCUGAGGUUACUGAUCCUAUCCUGUUUUCCUGUCCUGCUUGCUGUCCUUGUUGUGUUUUCCUUGGGAGAAGAACUCUGUGAUCCUGCAAUCCCCGAAGACUUUCCUGAAAGAGAUUCUUCCAAUCUUGAAAGAUUUGAUCAUGAGAAAAAAGGAAGCAGGUAUGUUCUGAAAAUAUUUUGAUAGUCCAGGAGUAAGAUAAUGAGAGCAUGGACCAGGAUGGAAACAAAGGAAAGGAAAGAUUCCUUCAGGAAGCCAGUGAGAAGAUGAGAAGUCCAAAAUUCCAUGGACUCUUUGAAAGUCACAAAAGUUUUUUUCCAGCCUAUGGGGGAAGACCCAAGGCAGAAGUCAAGAACUCUUCUCCGGGUCAUUGAAGUCCGGUGGAAAGAUAAAAGUGAGGGUGACUGGCAGAGGCCCAGGAUGCAGUGAAUGACUGGCAUCUUCAAUAUUUUACCAAUCUCUAAGUGAUUAUUUCCCUAAUGUGUGCUUCAGCUGCCUUCAUGGCCAUUGGAGAAAACUGAUUUCAUCUGCCCAUUUGGCUGGGAAGUCUUCACUUUGUAGCAAGGGAAGUUUCAAAGAAGUUGCAAAGAUUGAUUGACAGCCCUCAAGUCUAGAUUCUUAAGAGCAGGCUGGGUGGAAGAUUCUAAAUUGUUGGAAAGCUUUUCAACUUUCUCUCUCUGAAGCUGGAUUUCAACACAGAAGCUGUGAGAGGCUCCUUGAAAUAACUAUCUCUUAAACUGCCUACCUUGGAUUAUCAUCAAGAAAAGGUAGAGUAGAACUGCUCCAUUUAAUUUUGGUGGACAGAGUGAUUUGUGUGAGAAUUCCUCUACUUCCUGGACCUUUUAAGGACCUUCAACUGGAUUUCUUUAGUCUGACCCACCAAGGACUCUGGAGAGUGUGAGAAUCUGGGCUCCCUGUUUGGACUUUAUCCUUUAUUUAACUUGCAGAUAAUUUUAGUUUAGUUAGAUUAAGAUUAGUGUAGAAACAUUAUUGGGUUAAGAAUCUGAAUGGGAAACAGUCAGAUGGUCCAUCCUUCCCUACCAUUCCUUAUUCUUUGUUAAUAAAAUUAUUUAUUCACUUGCAUGUGUUCCUUUUCCUAAACCUUCCCCCCUUUCCCUUAAAAUCUCCUUAUAACAACAUAAAUCACCAGCAGAUCUAAAACCUGUUGGCUAUCAUCAACCUGGUUUUUAGUUCAUUUGCCAAGAUGAUUUUGCCAUGGUGUGGCUACCCAUGCUACAGCUUCUUGAGAUCACAGGUGAGAGUUGAGAGACAUAUGGACACUAAAGGUGGUUGAGAAACCCUAAAUAGGCCA